CCUGGUUGAUCCUGCCAGUAGUCAUAUGCUUGUCUCAAAGAUUAAGCCAUGCAUGUGUAAGCACACACUGUUUUAAAAGUGAAGCCGCGAAUGGCUCAUUACAACAGCCACAGUUUAUUAGAACUUACAAUCAUGGAUAACUGUGGUAAUUCUAGAGCUAAUACACGCACAAAAACUUCAACUGAAUUGGUUGAAGUGCUUUUAUUAGAACAAAAACCGAACGGCGUUUGACGAAUGUUGAACGUCGAAACUGUUUGGUGAAUCUGAAUAACUAUUUCUGAUCGCAUGGUCUAGCACCGGCGACAUCACUUUCAAGUGUCUGCCUUAUCAACCUUCGAUGGUAGUCUAUGCGACUACCAUGGUGAUAACGGGUAACGGAGAAUCAGGGUUCGACUCCGGAGAGGGAGCCUGAGAAACGGCUACCACAUCCAAGGAAGGCAGCAGGCGCGCAAAUUACCCACUCCCAGCUUGGGGAGGUAGUGACGAAAAAUAACGAGACGAUUCUCGUUUGAGAAACGUUAUCGAAAUGAGUACGCUUUACACACGCUAACGAGUAGCAAUUGGAGGGCAAGUCUGGUGCCAGCAGCCGCGGUAAUUCCAGCUCCAAUAGCGUAUAUUAAAGUUGCUGCGGUUAAAACGCUCGUAGUUGAAUUGUGGUCUUAGACAACAGUCCCCCUACAAAGGUGUGGCACGGUUGCUCGAGAUCUUCAUUCGUGGUUGCUGUUGUUGCUCUUCAUUGAGUGUCAAUGGUGCCUCGAGAUUUUACUUUGAAAAAAUUAGAGUGCUCAAAGCAGGUUGUGAUGCCUGAAUAAUGGUGCAUGGAAUAAUAGAAUACGAUCUCGGUUCUAUUUUGUUGGUUUUCGAACCGGAGAUAAUGAUUGAAAGGAACAGACGGGGGCAUUCGUAUUGCUGCGUUAGAGGUGAAAUUCUUGGAUCGCAGCAAGAUGAACAAUUGCGAAAGCAUUUGCCAAGAAUGUUUUCAUUAAUCAAGAACGAAAGUUAGAGGUUCGAAGGCGAUCAGAUACCGCCCUAGUUCUAACGGUAAACUAUGCCAACCAGCGAUUCGCCGAAGUUCAUUUAAGACUCGGCGAGCAGCUUCCGGGAAACCAAAGUGUUUCGGUUACGGGGGAAGUAUGGUUGCAAAGCUGAAACUUAAAGGAAUUGACGGAAGGGCACCACCAGGAGUGGAGCCUGCGGCUUAAUUUGACGCAACACGGGAAAACUCACCCGGCCCGGACACUGGAAGGAUUGACAGAUUGACAGCUCUUUCUUGAUUCAGUGGGUAGUGGUGCAUGGCCGUUCUUAGUUGGUGGAGCGAUUUGUCUGGUUAAUUCCGAUAACGAACGAGACUCUACCCUAUUAAAUAGUGACAGUAUUGUAUUUUUUGUGCUGAUCACUUCUUAGAGGGACUGGCAAAUUGAAAGCUGCACGAAAAAGAGCAAUAACAGGUCUGUGAUGCCCUUCGAUGUCCGGGGCUGCACGCGCGCUACAAUGAAAGCGUCAACGUGAGUUACGUCCUUACCUGAAGUUCUGGGCCGCACGCGCGCUACACUGAUGUAUUCAACGAGUUUAUAGCCUUGGCCGACAGGCCCGGGUAAUCUUUGAAAUUUCAUCGUGA
rnacentral:rRNA from 1 species